rnacentral:misc_RNA from 1 species
UGUAGCAUCUUUUAUCUUCAUGCAAACUCUGGGGAACUCUCAAACAUGCCCGGAUUGUUUCACUCGUUCUCGUGCAGCCCACUAUCCAAAUUCAGAAGAAAAAGGAACAGAAACUGGGAGUUGUGGAUUUGGUACUUUUGGAGCAACAAUCAAUGGUGGAGAUGUCUCAGCAGCAUCAGAACUCUAUCGAAAUGGUCUAGGAUGUGGUGCAUGCUACCAGGUGAGAUGCACCGACAGUAA